ACUCCUACGGGAGGCAGCAGCUAAGAAUCUUCCGCAAUGGGCGAAAGCCUGACGGAGCGACGCCGUGUGGACGAAGAAGGCCGGAAGGUUGUACAGUCCUUUUCUCGGAUGAAGAAUAAGGCAGCGAGGGAAUGCGCUGUCGAUGACAUUAGUUGAGGAAUAAGCCCCGGCUUAUUACGUGCCAGCAGCCGCGGUAACACGUAAGGGGCGAGCCUUGUUAGGAAUUAUGGGCGUAAGGGCGCGUAGACGGCUUGGGCAAGCCUGGUGUGAAAGGCCAACAAGCUUAACUGUGUCGAGUGCGCUGGGAACCUGCCCUAGCUAGAGUUUCGGAGGGGGAAGCUGGAUUCCUGGUGUAGGGGUGAAAUCAGUAGAUAUCAGGAAGAACAUCUGUGGCGAAGGCGAGCUUCUGGCCAGGAAACUGACGCUGAGGCGCGAAAGCGUGGGGAGCGAACAGGAUUAGAUACCCUGGUAGUCCACGCUGUAAACGAUGUGCACUAGGUGUUGGCUGUGAUAACGGUCAGUGCCGAAGCAAACGCGAUAAGUGCACCGCCUGGGGAGUAUGCUCGCAAGGGUGAAACUCAAAGGAAUUGACGGGGGCCCGCACAAGCGGUGGAGCAUGUGGUUUAAUUCGAUGAUACGCGAGGAACCUUACCAGGGUUUGACAUAUGGCGGACUGCGGUAGAGAUGUCGCUUCCCUUCGGGGCCGUCAUACAGGUGCUGCACGGCUGUCGUCAGCUCGUGCUGUGAGGUGUUGGGUUAAGUCCCGCAACGAGCGCAACCCCUGCUGUCUGUUACCAGCACGUAAUGGUGGGGACUCAGGCGGUACUGCCGGUGACAAACCGGAGGAAGGUGGGGACGAC
rnacentral:rRNA from 1 species